rnacentral:rRNA from 1 species
ACUACAUGAAGCUGGAAUCGCUAGUAAUCGCGGAUCAGAAUGCCGCGGUGAAUACGUUCCCGGGUCUUGUACACACCGCCCGUCACACCAUGGGAGUCGGAAAUGCCCGAAGUCAGUAGUCCAACCUCGUGAGGACGCUGCCGAAGGUAGGAUUGGCGACUGGGGUGAAGUCGUAACAAGGUACC